rnacentral:rRNA from 1 species
UACGUAGGGUGCAAGCGUUAAUCGGAAUUACUGGGCGUAAAGCGUGCGCAGGCGGUGAUGUAAGACAGAUGUGAAAUCCCCGGGCUCAACCUGGGAACUGCAUUUGUGACUGCAUCGCUGGAGUGCGGCAGAGGGGGAUGGAAUUCCGCGUGUAGCAGUGAAAUGCGUAGAGAUGUGGAGGAACACCGAUGGCGAAGGCAGCCCCCUGGGUCAACACUGACGCUCAUGCACGAAAGCGUGGGGAGCAAACAGG